rnacentral:rRNA from 1 species
GUUUGAUCCUGGCUCAGGACGAACGCUGGCGGCGUGCUUAACACAUGCAAGUCGAACGGAAAGGCCCUUUCGGGGGUGCUCGAGUGGCGAACGGGUGAGUAACACGUGGGUGAUCUGCCCUGCACUCUGGGAUAAGCCUGGGAAACUGGGUCUAAUACCGGAUAGGACUACGCACUGCAUGGUGUGUGGUGGAAAGCGUUAUGUAGCGGUGUGGGAUGGGCCCGCGGCCUAUCAGCUUGUUGGUGGGGUGAUGGCCUACCAAGGCGACGACGGGUAGCCGGCCUGAGAGGGUGUCCGGCCACACUGGGACUGAGAUACGGCCCAGACUCCUACGGGAGGCAGCAGUGGGGAAUAUUGCACAAUGGGCGCAAGCCUGAUGCAGCGACGCCGCGUGGGGGAUGACGGCCUUCGGGUUGUAAACCUCUUUCACCAGGGGCGAAGGGAGACUGACGGUACCUGGAGAAGAA